rnacentral:rRNA from 1 species
CCUACGGGCGGCAGCAGUGAGGAAUAUUGGUCAAUGGGCGAGAGCCUGAACCAGCCAAGUCGCGUGAGGGAGUACUGCCCUAUGGGUUGUAAACCUCUUUUGUCGGGGAGCAAAAGCCGGACGUGUCCGGCUGUGAGAGUACCCGAAGAAACAGCAUCGGCUAACUCCGUGCCAGCAGCCGCGGUAAUACGGAGGAUGCGAGCGUUAUCCGGAUUUAUUGGGUUUAAAGGGUGCGCAGGCGGGUUUUUAAGUCAGCGGUAAAAUCGUGGGGCUCAACCCCAUCCAGCCGUUGAAACUGGGGAUCUAGAGUGUGCGAGAGGUAUGCGGAAUGCGUGGUGUAGCGGUGAAAUGCAUAGAUAUCACGCAGAACCCCGAUUGCGAAGGCAGCAUACCGGUGCACAACUGACGCUCAGGCACGAAAGCGUGGGUAUCGAACAGGAUUAGAUACCCGAGUAGUC